AUCUACUUUCAGCUAAAGCAACUUUAGUUUUUUUGUUUACAAUUUUUAAAUCUUUUUUAAAAUAUUUUUGAGCGUAGAAAUUUUUUAAUUUAAAUUUAUUCAGCAAGAUGAACCUUUUAUCUAUUUUGUAUUUUUUGCUUAUAUGAGGAUUCAAUUUUUUUUGCAGGGUUAAAAGAAAAUCUUAAUCAUUAAACUUGUGUAACCUGUUGCUAUGGUGCUCUUUUCCGAUGUGGCUAUAUAUAUAUAUAUAUAUAUAUAUAUAUAUAUAUAUAUAUAUAUAUAUAUAUAUAUAUAUAUAUAUAUAUAUAUAUAUAUAUAUAUAUAAUAUAAACACUUAUCUAUUUUUUUGAUAAACCUUCUGAAGGAGUUGAACAGACUGUCAAAGAGUGCUCAAUAUUCUUAAAGAAGAGAGCAUAGUAUUGUUAUAUUAUUCCAACCAUAUUCGCUUUUCAACAAAGAAACUUACCUGUUGUAAAGAAGGGAAAAGUAAACUAAAGCAGAAAGACUUUUUCUUGGAACUCGAUAUAAAUAUUUUUUGUGU